rnacentral:rRNA from 1 species
UCAUCUCCGGGGGUAGAGCACUGUUUCGGCAAGGGGGUCAUCCCGACUUACCAACCCGAUGCAAACUGCGAAUACCGGAGAAUGUUAUCACGGGAGACACACGGCGGGUGCUAACGUCCGUCGUGAAGAGGGAAACAACCCAGACCGCCAGCUAAGGUCCCAAAGUCAUGGUUAAGUGGGAAACGAUGUGGGAAGGCCCAGACAGCCAGGAUGUUGGCUUAGAAGCAGCCAUCAUUUAAAGAAAGCGUAAUAGCUCACUGGUCGAGUCGGCCUGCGCGGAAGAUGUAACGGGGCUAAACCAUGCACCGAAGCUGCGGCAGCGACACUAUGUGUUGUUGGGUAGGGGAGCGUUCUGUAAGCCUGUGAAGGUGUGCUGUGAGGCAUGCUGGAGGUAUCAGAAGUGCGAAUGCUGACAUAAGUAACGAUAAAGCGGGUGAAAAGCCCGCUCGCCGGAAGACCAAGGGUUCCUGUCCAACGUUAAUCGGGGCAGGGUGAGUCGACCCCUAAGGCGAGGCCGAAAGGCGUAGUCGAUGGGAAACAGGUUAAUAUUCCUGUACUUGGUGUUACUGCGAAGGGGGGACGGAGAAGGCUAUGUUGGCCGGGCGACGGUUGUCCCGGUUUAAGCGUGUAGGCUGGUUUUCCAGGCAAAUCCGGAAAAUCAAGGCUGAGGCGUGAUGACGAGGCACUACGGUGCUGAAGCAACAAAUGCCCUGCUUCCAGGAAAAGCCUCUAAGCAUCAGGUAACAUUAAAUCGUACCCCAAACCGACACAGGUGGUCAGGUAGAGAAUACCAAGGCGCUUGAGAGAACUCGGGUGAAGGAACUAGGCAAAAUGGUGCCGUAACUUCGGGAGAAGGCACGCUGAUAUGUAGGUGAAGUCCCUCGCGGAUGGAGCUGAAAUCAGUCGAAGAUACCAGCUGGCUGCAACUGUUUAUUAAAAACACAGCACUGUGCAAACACGAAAGUGGACGUAUACGGUGUGACGCCUGCCCGGUGCCGGAAGGUUAAUUGAUGGGGUUAGCGGUAACGCGAAGCUCUUGAUCGAAGCCCCGGUAAACGGCGGCCGUAACUAUAACGGUCCUAAGGUAGCGAAAUUCCUUGUCGGGUAAGUUCCGACCUGCACGAAUGGCGUAAUGAUGGCCAGGCUGUCUCCACCCGAGACUCAGUGAAAUUGAACUCGCUGUGAAGAUGCAGUGUACCCGCGGCAAGACGGAAAGACCCCGUGAACCUUUACUAUAGCUUGACACUGAACAUUGAGCCUUGAUGUGUAGGAUAGGUGGGAGGCUUUGAAGUGUGGACGCCAGUCUGCAUGGAGCCGACCUUGAAAUACCACCCUUUAAUGUUUGAUGUUCUAACGUUGACCCGUAAUCCGGGUUGCGGACAGUGUCUGGUGGGUAGUUUGACUGGGGCGGUCUCCUCCUAAAGAGUAACGGAGGAGCACGAAGGUUGGCUAAUCCUGGUCGGACAUCAGGAGGUUAGUGCAAUGGCAUAAGCCAGCUUGACUGCGAGCGUGACGGCGCGAGCAGGUGCGAAAGCAGGUCAUAGUGAUCCGGUGGUUCUGAAUGGAAGGGCCAUCGCUCAACGGAUAAAAGGUACUCCGGGGAUAACAGGCUGAUACCGCCCAAGAGUUCAUAUCGACGGCGGUGUUUGGCACCUCGAUGUCGGCUCAUCACAUCCUGGGGCUGAAGUAGGUCCCAAGGGUAUGGCUGUUCGCCAUUUAAAGUGGUACGCGAGCUGGGUUUAGAACGUCGUGAGACAGUUCGGUCCCUAUCUGCCGUGGGCGCUGGAGAACUGAGGGGGGCUGCUCCUAGUACGAGAGGACCGGAGUGGACGCAUCACUGGUGUUCGGGUUGUCAUGCCAAUGGCACUGCCCGGUAGCUAAAUGCGGAAGAGAUAAGUGCUGAAAGCAUCUAAGCACGAAACUUGCC